UACAGAGGUCCCAAGCGUUGUUCGGAUUCACUGGGCGUAAAGGGCGGGUAGGCGGCCACCGCAAGUCAGUUGUGAAAUCUCCGGGCUUAACCCGGAAAGGUCAACUGAUACUGCGGGGCUAGAGUGCAGAAGGGGCAACUGGAAUUCUCGGUGUAGCGGUGAAAUGCGUAGAUAUCGAGAGGAACACCUGCGGCGAAGGCGGGUUGCUGGGCUGACACUGACGCUGAGACGCGAAAGCGUGGGGAGCGAACAGG
rnacentral:rRNA from 1 species